rnacentral:rRNA from 1 species
CAACAGGGAUUGCCUUAGUAGCGGCGAGUGAAGCGGCAAAAGCUCAAAUUUGAAAUCUGGCACUUUCAGUGUCCGAGUUGUAAUUUGAAGAAGGUAUCUUUGGGUCUGGCUCUUGUCUAUGUUUCUUGGAACAGAACGUCACAGAGGGUGAGAAUCCCGUGCGAUGAGAUGUCCCAGACCUAUGUAAAGUUCCUUCGAAGAGUCGAGUUGUUUGGGAAUGCAGCUCUAAGUGGGUGGUAAAUUCCAUCUAAAGCUAAAUAUUGGCGAGAGACCGAUAGCGAACAAGUACAGUGAUGGAAAGAUGAAAAGAACUUUGAAAAGAGAGUGAAAAAGUACGUGAAAUUGUUGAAAGGGAAGGGCUUGAGAUCAGACUUGGUAUUUUGUAUGUUACUCUCUCGGGGGUGGCCUCUACAGUUUACCGGGCCAGCAUCAGUUUGGGCGGUAGGACAAUUGCAAAGAAAUGUGGCACUGCCUCGGUAGUGUGUUAUAGUCUUUGUCGAUACUGCCAGCCUAGACUGAGGACUGCGGCUUCGG